CCAUGUUGGGAAAAGUACAAAACAUGGAAGAAAAAUUAAGAAAAUUUUCAUCUUCCAAUCAAUACGAAUGCUUUUUGUACAGGAAUAAAUUUCCGCACACAAAUUAAUUGUUUCGUCGAAAAAUGAUAGAUUCCUUCGAUACAGUAUGAGCGAUCCAAUCGCUGUUAUUGCGAUCGCUCCUUAGAAGAGAGUCGACACUCACCCCUCGCGACUGCUCGCUAUCCCGUACCAAUCUGCUGAAACACAUCGCCAUACUUCAUAAGCACCCUCAUCGUGGUCGCUCCUGCGUGUAAUAUAAUAAGUACGUCGUUGGAAGUAUCGACGAAAGCUCGGUCGAAGCGUUUCGCCUCUUCUGUAUCGAUGCUGGAGCAGGGAACAUCACUUUUCUAUUAACGCGAUUGAAAUUUUUUUUUUCCUCGUAAGUGACACUAUCAAACGUUAAUAACUGAUCGUUUUUACAGUCUACAAAAAACUUUCCACAAAAUCUUCAUAGUUUCAAACAUUUAUACGCGCCGGAAAAUAAUUAAAGUAUUUUUAUAAUAGAGCUUCCAAGAAAGUUUUCGCAUUUUCGAAUAACUAGAUACUCCAUACAAUAAUAAUAAUAAUAAUAAUAAUAGAUUUUUUUCCCAAGAUUUUCGGUGGAUGGCGAAUCACUGUGUUGUAAAAUGUACCGAAAUUUAUAACGCUCCCUAUUCUUAUUUGGUGUCUGAAAUAUGAAAGGGUCGACGGAAUCGACUUCACCGUAACACAAGUCAUUUUCGUGUGAUAAAUCAUGGUAAAGAAAAAUCGAAAUUGCUAAAAAAAUAUUCAUCCCCGAAUAAUAUGACUUCCAAAACCCAUCGACUGAUUUUUGAGGUCUUCGAAGACGCUCAAUCCCAGUCAAAUGGAAGAUGCCUGGUUUUUUUUUUAUUAUCACGCAAUAUCGUUUGAGACCAAUGACAAUAAGGUUCUGGGUCGCGGAACCAACGUUUUUUUCCACAAUCUUCGAAACAUACCGAUUUUUCUUCUGAUUGAAGUUGUCCAUAUACGUUACCACAGAUAAGACGGCUACCCCGUUUUCAAUGUAUGCUCCAACCGCCUACCCUUCCGAAGCACACCACGCAUUCGUUCCUCCCGAGGGAGCGUUUACCGCGGAUAAUUUAUAUUUAUGACCGACGGCUCUACCAACCCCACUUCUCUCGUAUACAUUUAAUUGAGACGUCCUCGUUGGAACCAAUAGGGCGAGGGAAUCAUUAUCUUGGGAAGGGAGAAGCAGAGAAUACACGCAAAAAUAGGCGACGCCGCUGUUCGCUAGAGGAGGCAAUGACAAAAAUCCGUGAAGUGGAUACUUGGAUAAUCUUGAAAGCUUAUUCGUCCUGCAUAUUUCGUUUUCAAUGGUUAUUUCUACAGUCGUAUGAAUGUAUUAGAUCACUCAUAUGUUAACAUGCCACCAUGAGAAAUUCGUUCGAUUGAUUUCGAGAUGUCGUGUCUACCGAUUUGAGAAAACUACCGUUUGACGAAAAAUGCGUUUAAAGAUUUAAAUGCGAUUAUUACCAAUACGAUUUGCAGUAACCUUCUAUGUCUGGCGUUCAGUUUCCUCGAACAGUUAAUCGACAGAGUUAAUCUUUUUUUUAACUAGCUACACUGGAUUAAGUUGUUUUCUUUUCAAUUUUACUAAACUAUUUUAUUGUUGAGAUACUGAAAUUUACUAGGCUUUCAAGAUAAAAAUAAAAAAAGUGGGACUCUGACUUCACUCAGAUCAUUAUCCAUAGAAAUUUCAAACACAACUGCAAGAGCACACGAAUGUGUCUUUUAAGGAGGUUUUGAGGGUAACAACUAUAUGGUCCAACCCCUCACUGGAUACGCCCUUUCAGCAUCAACUCAUUCUCAUGUGUAUGAUUUCGGGGAAGUCUUGUCAUUUGACCGAUUCGAUCCACGCGGAUGUCUCCCUCGCUUAUGUCCGGACACAUCAUUCGUAGUGAUCACGCGUGAAGAAUUUCUUCGGUUUAUUAGAGGACGAAUAAUGUUUUCAAGGACGACACAAUGAGGCUUUUUUCCUAUGCAGUGAAACUUCUAUAACACAUCGUUCUUGUCAUCGUGAUUUGUUCCAUGACCCAGUGGAUCGAGAAAGGCUCGAUACGAUUGAAAUAUUUGUAGAGAAAUAUUUCAAACAGUUUAAAAUGUCCGAAUUUUUCAAAUUUUAGCAAUGGAAGUCAAGGUUAUGGAAAAAAUUCUUGCAGCAAGUUGCAGUAGAGUUAAAAACUGUGUGGUAAGUUCGUUCUUGCUUGUAGCGGAUAAAAAAUAACAGCACCAACGGCUCGGGAGGGCGAGAUCCACUUAGUUUUUAGAGCGAGCCCUUUCACACGAGUCGUCCCUCCAUAAACUAUUAAACACUAAUUCCAUUAAAGCGAGGAAGGGUUGUGCACGCUCGUUUCUAUCUCUGACCCAUAUUUCAUAGCAAAAGCUUUUCAAUCUGAGAAAAUACUUACAGACCAAACGCUCUACGGAACACACUACACACCCUUUCUCCGCGCGUGAACGUGUUCGGUGCUGUACGCUGGUCGCUCUGAUGCCUCCUCGCACUUACUUACUCUCUGUCCUUUUUUUUCUCACCCUCGAUAUCUUUCUCUCCAUGUAUCUCAUCACUCUUCUUCUCUAUUCCGUAAAACUAUAUAUUUCCAUCCUGGAGUCUGAAAAUAUGGAAGCCACUCCCGACAGACAAGCGAAAUUCGAUGGCGAAAUUACGAACGAAAAAGUUUCUGUUUGUUUAUUGCUUCUUGUCCGAAGAAAGGAUGAAGAUAGAGGGAGUGUGAAUCGGAAAGGGAGAGAGAGAAAAGAGGAGACAAAAAAGAAUUUUACGUACGGUGAUAGUUGAGGAUUGCGAUAAACUCCUUUUCUAUUUUAUUACUAGAAGACAUUUCUUAUAAUUCUAGGAUCAACUACAUUGAAAGUUUUCUCAUAGACGUUUCGAUCCGAUCGACUUACGAAAGUGGAAUCUGAACAGUCCGAGGUGCAGCACCAGCACGUGAAAAAAUUUCCAAAUUUUUCGUCGAUUUUCUAGCUCACAUUUAGCCUCGUAUCUGUGGCAUGCGAGUCCGAGUCCGUAAAUCCACUGGGCCAAUCAGACACCUGAUGAAAAAUAAGUUUUUCUUCUCCGUAUCCUUUUCGAUCAUCGUUUAUGAGCUUACGCAAAAAGGUGCGUCGUUCGCACAAUUUAUCGACCGGUUUAUUCCUCUCGAUAGUCUCAUUCAUGAUUUAGGGAAUCGUAUAAAAUGUGAUUCCCAUGGCGGGCCUACCGAAGUCAAUGAAUCCGCAACGAAAAACCGUUGAGAGUGAAAAAAAAACUGGAGAAAUAUAGUUAUGCAGAUUCGUCACGAAGUUUUUGCCGACUAUCCGAAAAUGAAGAAUCUCAGCAAUUAUGCAAUCGCCCAGAAGCCCCACGAUAACGGAGUUUCAAUUAAUACCAAUGAACUUUCGAAGGGUCGCACGGCGCUGAGAAGUUAAUAGAAUGUUUCCGGCUGAUGAUUGAGAAAGAAACGUGGUAAACUCGGCAAGUAUCUCAAUCUAUGAAUCAUCCGAAAAUUUUCUCAAAAAUACACUCUGUAUGCAGCCAAUGAUAACAAAUCUAUGUGCCAGUUACAUGAAAGUCUGAGAGCAAUUUUUUUUAGUCUUUUUAUUUUUCAAUUACUUCGAAGAUUCGACGAGAGCGAUCUAUCCUGCCAUCAGGGCGUCAGAAUGAAAGAUCUUGCCAAUGGUUUAGCUGAAAAUGGAUGAAUCCAAUUGUCCUAAACGGUUCCUUAACACUGAGAAACUUGUAAGAUCCAUUUUUCAUUACUAGUUUUUCUCCUCUCAGUAGAAAAAAAAACCACGUAUUGCAAGUAUUUUUCCACUUCUCUGAAUCUCUGAAUAUAAUACAAAAAAAUUCUAAAAUGAAUAAUCUUGCAUACGUACACUAUGAGAGUAGUUUCGAGGAUAUGCAAAGUUCGAUAUUCCCGCGUUGUUUAUCCUCUCUGGUGAGGUUCUUCGGAUCACCACUACAGAAAUUUCUCAUCGAAUGAGUACCAUAGAAGAAUGUGCUCAAACGAAUAUAAUCUCUUGGAAGUUUUCAAACCGAUUAAGCCGGUGAUCGGAGAGUGCAAGAGAUGAUAUCGAUGUAUGAUGAGAAUCGCGAGGCGAAAGUGCGAGAACAUUUUCCGAGAGGCACCAAAGUGACGGAUGGUCCCAUGCUCUCUUCGUCUCUUCCAUUCUCGAUGGUAUCGGAGCGCGUACAGCCCCAGCACAAGCUCUCCCGGUUACCAACUUUUUCGCACACGCCUACGAUCGAAUAUUGCAGAAAACUUGAAUUGGCUAUCGUUUCACCAGACUUGUUUACGAAUUGCUGAGAAUUUUUUUGACUCAGCGUAUAAAAAUCAGCUUAACGAUGAAUUCAUUUUCUAGAAUUCUUUCUCGACAGAGUUAUCGAUUCGAAUAAUCGAUGCGUAACUGAAAGCUGUUGUCAAAAUUUUCAUAAAGUUUUGGUCUAUGUUAGUUUUUUUUUCCCCACAAUAUCUUUGAGGUAGACAAAUGAUUGAAUCUCAGUAAAGCACUCGGGUGUAUACGUGCUGUGCAUAUAUGGACAGACGACGAUUAAUUUCGUCGUCACCGAACAGGGUGGUUGAGAGAUUGCGCCAUAGAUGACUUCCAUAUUGGCUGGUGGCUUUGGGAUAAAUCGACGAGCGUGCGAACAACUGCGGUAGUGAUUAACCCUGCCCGGUACACUUCUGCUAGCGACUAUCACAAAAUUCGCGUUGCUUCGUGUGUCACAGUACGCGUUCGUAAUAACUGUAUAGUAUCGCCGGCAGCGUCACCUAUUCCUUCGCUCCUCAAAAAGUGUCAUAAACUCAUUCGAAGCUUUACUGCGAAUCGCUUUACAACUUGCGCGCGGUUACGAUGCCGUCCGGCGUUAUUCGAACACCAUUACCUACCGGGAUUCCACCGCGCGACAUCGCAACGCUACUGAAAAGCCAUACUACUUCACUCCAUCUCUCUCUCUCUCUCUCUCUCUUCCUCCCGCGCGCAGCCACACCAUCACAUGUAUAAUAUCUCGGGAACUAGUUACCGAAACUGCGCUAGUUUAAAUUACGAGCUACGGCGCCUUCUCGACUUUUUUUCUCGUAGUUUGUCCCUCUAUACGGAAGGUUAUAUUCACCCGGAGAAAAGCCACGUCGCAAUGUCGAUGUAUACGAUUCGCGAGAUCUUUCGCCUGCCCUCGCUGCUAGUCCUUGAUCCUUCUCUUGGUGCAAAGCACACACGACGGACGUAAAACGAACGGGCGAUAUUUCCCCGGUUAUUUUCAUGAUCUCUCUACCCAUUCUCGAGUUUCAUCUAUCUUUCGCAUACUUCAACCUCUCGUCAUUCUCCUUAUUAUACAGUACUCUCGCGGGUUGUAUACAAGACUCGAGUCUAGAUUUUGCAUGUUUUCUUAUAGCCUGAAACUCUCGAACCGAGAUUUCUACCAUAAAGCAAAACGAGCCCCGUUCGAAUCUAUCAUUUGUAUGUUUUGUAUUAUUUGCAGUGCUUCUCAUCUGUUUUCCAAAGUUACAUACGAGUGUACUCGUCGGUAUUCAAUACAUUCAUUCCGAUUCGUUAGAACCCAAGAACUUGUUAUUGAGCCGAUGUCCAUUGAAUGUUUUAUUUUUUCACGGCCGUGCUAGAAGCUGUUUCUCUAUCCAACAGCUUCGCAAUAAGUUCCAAUCUGGCUCACGACGAGAUGAAUUUGGCGACGAGUUGUUAGAUCAUUAUUGAGGAAAAACCACGUCGAAGUAAUUUAGCGAUGCAGUAUUUCUAGCUUGAUUCGGGAUUGUUAAACAAAUUCUCUUUUGCCCAUUAAACACGAAUCUGGUUGAAAAUUCGACAAUGAUAAACACACAGUUCUCACAUGGCUUCGAUGUUUUCAACCAUGGAAUGAAUUCCAAAUGGAAUGAAAGGAGAAUAGAAAUAAAAAGGAAGAAUAACGAAGCAUGAAAUAUGAUUCCAAAGCAAAAGAGUUUGAAUACAAUUCAAGAGGUGAAUUAUUAAAAAAAAAAAUAGUAAAUAUUAAUCCAAAGAGUCGUAGAUGGAAAAGAAAAUCUGGGACGAAGAAUCAAAAUUAUUUUUCAAAAGGGUCAAAAUAUUCGAACCUUUUAGCAGAGUUGUUUUGGUCAGAGUAUUUUCCAUGAAGAUAUUCGUGUUCAUACAUACGGACGUUGAACGAAAAUGGCGUUUGCCCUGAGGCCGGAAUUGAAACCACUUCAUUAUCACAAAGGUGCAGGGGGUUGAUAGAGAGGCGGGAGGUGCGAAGGGGUACACGGUGCGACGGCAGCUCGACAAUAGAAUCCGUUUUGCGAAUAUCGAGGAUAAUGUCACGAGCGUUUUCAUACAACAUGGAAAAGCACAGGCCACAGAAUAUACGAAACAAGUACACGACGCAGCCGCUUGUCUAUCCGCCUGCGGCUACCGUAUUUCACCCUCCCAUCUCUAUUACAGCGAGCUCGAACCAUGAUGAAAAAUGGAAAUCUCGAUUCGUCGCGGUAAAGGCGAAAAGUGGAGAGGAGAGCAAUCUCGACUAUGCGCUUUUUGUACGGGACGAUGCAUUAAACGAAAUACCAUCAACAACAAAAAAGUUUUUAGAUUCUAUAAAAAAUAAACGAUCCCCUUCCAUCGUUAUUAUUUCACUCAUUUCGUAUUCAUCUAUUUUCGCAGAUUAUGUCAGUUUACAAACAAUUAUAUGGACCAAUCGAAGAAGCUGUCACCCCAUUUUAAUAAAGAUGGAAUCGUAGGAGGAAUAAAUUAAUGACGAAUUUAAUAUUCCCUUUGAGAAAGCACGAUGAGGCUUAUAAAAUGCCGUUAAGGAAUGAAGGUGUAGGAUAAAUUAAAUAUGAGAUCGGCCAGGAGGAGGAAGAAGAAGAAGAAGAAGACGGCGUGAGGGUUAUAGAAAUGCCUGGCAUAUAUAAGAGGUCCAAAACGCCUCUGAAGCAGAUGACACGUUCGCGUACGCCCGAUAAGGAAAAUGGUGGCUGUAACACACUUGGCGAAGAUGCCCUUAUUACGAAAGACACGAAGUCUCGUUGGACGGCUCACCAAGGCAAUCGGGCCCUUUACGACACGACUUUCGUGAUACUCCGCUCCUGUAGAACCUCGAACAAGCACACCGUGGAGAACACAUCCGUUCUCUCCUCUCUUCCUUUCUUCUCUCUCUUUCCCUAUCCUUGCCUCUCCCACCUCCUCGCAGUCUCUCUUUUGUAUGCUCCUCGCAUAACAAAACCAACCCCUUCGAGUGAAUCUCCUCGUCGAGCGUUACAGCUUCAAUUAAACGUAACACCGAUUACGAGGUAUAAUGACACUGGGCGAGAUAGACGCGGUGACUCGGCAGCGUUAUCCACCGUUCACUGCUGACAUUGGAUUUGGUAGUCUACCCGGUUCUUCCCUUGUUGCCAAAUUCUCCAUAAAACGCAGAUUUUUCUUGGAUAAACUGUGCUUGUCCUUGACUAUUUUUAGCUAACGGUGACAUUGUUUAGUCCGAAAGGGAAAAUAUAUAAUUAGUUAAAAACGCUGAGCAAUCAAACAUUUCCUAGAAAUUAUGUGAAAUUAAUUAUUAUUUUUGUGAUUAAAGCAACCCUUCCGCCGCUAUCAGAUUGCCAUGAAUUAUUGUCAAUAAAACGGAACUGCUAUACCGCGUACAACUAUCUUAGACACCUCAGCUAAGUUAUCACCGAAUUACUAUCGCUCUCGAUAGCAGAAUUUCAAGCUCAGAAGAUUCUUCGUUCUGAAUAUGUUUAAGAAAUAUAUUACUUCUCUCCGUCGCAUGAAUAUUCACCGCGUGCAAUCAGUUAUGUUAUCUCCUUCUAUUUCAAGAACUCAGCAAUAAGUUGCAAGACAAAUUCAAAGUUUUCUGUACACCGUCGCAGUUGGCUGUGGCUGAAAGAAUAGGCUGUCCUGGUACCAAGAUUGCACAUGGUAUUAUAUGUCGCGGCAUAUUGGUUAUCUCUCGGAAGACCGUUCAACAUUUCCGACCAAGUUACCAUGCACUGUAUCUUUGUAUGUAUGUAUAUAACCGUCUGUAAGAAGACGGUAUCGCGGUCAAGAUGGCAUUACAUAUACAGUGUGCUCCACCUUCUAUUUGCAUAUAAACUCCUAGCCAGCGGCAAGGGAUCCACCCAACGUUUUGAUUUAUGCAACAAAUAUGCCUCGCCCUCCUUCUCGAUGUAACCGCUGCUGCUACCAUCAUAUACUCAAAGUACUUCAUAUUAUUUUGCUACUACUCUUAAAUCUCAAUACCAACUAUUCUUCUAUUCUGUGAAUCAGCACGAUAUUCGAGUAAACAUUGAUUGAACAUAUUAUUUGACGUAGUUCAAAAGAUUAAAUCCUUCUGGAUGAAGAUUUCUGUCCCGUAUUUAUUGAAACUGUGUUAAAGAUCUGCACUCCAGCCUUGCUUUACAGAUGCAAGUUUCUGAGAAAUUUCCAAUUUCAAAAUCAUACGAUCUCUCGGUUAGAACAAUUUUCAUUUAACAUUCAAUCUGUUUCGUUUUUUAAAGGAAAUUAAAAUUUGAAGUUUUUAGUCUUCCGACACGUAUCUCUGGUUCUCCUUAAAGUUAUUUUACAAUUCCAUUCAAACGAAUUGAAUGUUCUCAAGCGACUGAAUUUUAAGGUUAAUCAUUAGGAAACAUUAGAGAGUUUUAGUAAUACAAAAAUUGAGAUCGUCAUUAACGUUACCGUAAAUUUCGUUACGGUCGUCACCAGUAUACUUGCGCAUCGCUGCACGCUUUCCAGGUUGCGUGUUCUCAGAGCACAGCGAAGAAGCCUCGGACCCAAGCCGGUGACGGAGCAGCCAGCAGGAAAAGAAGGCUUGUCUCUCAAAUUCCAUGCUUUUUGAGGUUACGGUUGGCUCAUACAAUGAUCUUUUUCAGCGCCGUCGAUGACAAGCAGAGUUAGUUUUCCGUUCAUUUGGAUCGGUGAAAACGUACGAGUUGCACUCGAGUUCUUGGAAUCGAAGUUUGCGUGGGGCAGCGAGUAAAAAUCCGUGGAGCUCGUUCUCUUUAAGCCUCUCCGAAAUGAUGCGUUCCCAGAAACGCCGAUCACCUCCGUAAGUUUCAAAAGUGCCUUGUAACUAACGAAUCAGAGUUUGCAUAUGUUUGAAGAAGUUCAUCUGGUCUGUGGUGAAUGUGCAUUACAAUGACGAUUCACGUAACUAUUCUCGGUCUGCAACUCAUGUUAACCCCUCUCUUCUUCGCCGGGAAAGCACAUGGUCCAAUCCGGUUGCGAGUCAGGUGCACGGGAGGAGAAAAACAAAGCGCGCUCCCCCUUAAUUUCGAGAGUGGGGCGCGAUCUCAAUCCUCCCACUGUUCGCUGCAACAAGCAGCUCGUCGCGUAAAUCGUGUUUGCAUUUUUUUGCGUCAACGAAAUUGCAUGCUUUUUGAAAUGAUAGUUGGCUCGGUUUACUCACAAUUUUCUACAUAACUUGGAGGUGCGCAAAAUAUUUUGGCGUCUUAACUCGGCAGACAUACGAUCUUUGUUCGUACUUAGUUUGUUCGUGCUAGUCGUCCACUUUUGCACGUCUUCGAGAUGUUGCAUCCUCAAAGACCUACAUGUUUUUGGUGUUGAAAUGAAUAGUGUACUCGUACUCUUCCAGGUCUGCACAGACUCGCGUGCUUGCUGUCAGAAGCAGCGAUUAGUUCGUACGACGUUCGUGAGGUCGACAGUUUUUCAAACGCGCUACUCAUUUAGUUGGAUAUUGUCACCGCAUUUACUUCAUCGUUUCAUCAGACAUUUCACUCGUUGGAGGAGGGAUAUUCCGUAAAUAAAUUCCCAUUUUUCGCUUUGGUGGCUGAGUACGGUCUUUGCAAUUACGGUAUGUAACCCCCAAUGGACUAUUCAAAUUUUUGCGUCGUAUUCAAAAUGUUAUGAUUAUAUUUAUAUGGAUUACGAAAGUAUGAAAAAGUUUUAAAAAGUGUCGUAAUCGCUAAAAAUCCCGGUACAUACAUUUUUCCGAAUAAGCAUAAAUGAAUAACUGCCUGCAAGCUGAACGCCGCUAUCGUUCACGUUUUGUCUCGUUAAUCAUUCAUAUUUUUAUUCCAUUAGUUAUUCACCGAUACAACGCGAUAGAAACUUCGUUACGCGGGAAACGAACGGUGGCAAAUAUCAUGUAUUAUUCCGUAAAGAUAACACGAUUCUUAUUUUCAUUCGUUUUUUGCCUUAAGGGAGAGGCAAUUGAAACAGCGACAUUAAACUCGAUUGCACAAGUGCUUAUAGAUAGCAGGCAAUUUUCUUAUGGUUUGUCAUGGUGUUGAAAUAUAAUGGGGCUUCGAGUUAAACCGGCGUCAAAGUUGUCGUAGUGAAAGAGGGGAUUGGUGUGUGAGAGAGAGAGAGAGAGAGAGAGAGCACGUUGAAGGAGCAUAGUGGGGAACCUGUUACCGAGUCAUUUGCAUUGCAUCAACGAGAUUUCGUUAAAUGCGCCACCCGCCAACGAAAGCUUCUCUAGCGAGUAAAACGUCUCUGUGGCAAGAUGCGCGAUUAUGGUACCAUUUACAGAAUACCUUUCAUUGUACAUCAGGGAUUAUUGUAUUGGGUGACUUUGACCCGGACCAGAAUCCUUCGUUUCAACUUGCUUGAGAUUCGAAGCUCUAUUUGUUUAGCGACAGUAGAGCAAAUAGUUUUUCGAUAUUCAGCUGGAUAUCAUUAAUUGAAAAAAAAUUGUACAAUAUUUGAAUUGAUAGACGCCGAAAAAUUCAAAUCACCCCGAGUAUCAUUCCAUACCUGAGAUGACUUCACUUACAAACAUGUAUUGUAGCAACUUCGGUGACUUUAAAUCAUAAAAAAUUAGUUUGCUCUCCUCUCUUCAAAAAAAUACUCGCUCAAUGUUAAAUAAUCUUGCAAAGAUUUUUAAAGUGUAUUUUUGCAAUGAUGAAUUGACACACAAUUCAACUCUAUAUGAGAAACGAUGUUGGAUUUUAUUUUAUUGAUUAUCGAGCUCCAUGUUUGGAUAACUAUACCGACAUAUCCUUUAACCGAGAAUCGAUAACUCAAAAUUCUUUUAUUGCUUGAAUACAAAAGAAGAUCUUUCGAAUAGCAUUCUGUAGUGAAGUGCAAUCCUCUGCACAACGUCGGUCACACAGAAUCGCUCCCCUGAUAUUAUUGGCUGCCGAGCACUGACCCUCAAUCGAUAAAGUUUCAAGUUAAACUACAUUCUCAAAAGAUGUAAAGAAAAAAUCGAGUUUUUUAGAUUUAUCAAUGUUUUUAAUAUCAAUAAUUAGGAUUUUUAUAAGAAUUUGAGGAUACAUCACCGAAGAACUUAAAAACCGAAAAACAAUUGAAAUCGCUGUCGGGUCUUACAACAAGUCUCGCGUCUUUACCGACUGGACUAAGAGUUGUUAUUGAAACUUUUUUAUCAUGGUUGGGUAAAAUUUCAAGUUUCGUGUUUGCAUCAGACUUAUAAAUGCGCUGAGAACGAUUACAGUAUCAAAUCAUACAAAAAGUCAUUUGUAAAAAAAAGUUGACGCUCUCGAAAUCGGAGAGUCUGAACAGAGUCCGAGGUGACUCUGUUCAGAUAAAAAACAAAUCAUUUCAUGUGAUUUAAUACAAUAUAAUUUCACCAUUGGAGUUACGAACAGUUGCUUGAAUGGUUUUCUAUUACAAAUCGAUGAUACGUUUAUCACGUAAGCAGAGUUAUCGAUAGAUGGUAAAGUAGCAUCUGGCGACCCUGAAUCUUUCCUGCGCCUCUUACCGCUUGAGCAUAUCUCAAAAUUCAUCGAGCUUCAAAUUACCUUAUAUGGAAUGGAACGUAACAGUUUCCAUUAUAAUCAGAACGAGGGCUUUACGAUAGAAGUUUAUUCCCAAAAAAAUACGGUAGGCCACGAAUUUCUUGGGUAUUUGAUUUCAACUGUGCAGCAUCGACAUCGUAUGUGGCAAUAAGUAGAAGUACCUACUUAAAAUAGUGAUAAAUUCGUUGAUCAUAUAGCAACGAAAUAUGUCCAAGUUAGUUAGGGUACUAGAGAGAAGAGAGAGAGAGAAAGAGAAAGAGAGGGAGGGAGUGGACGAGUGUACUUGCAAGCGCAAUUAUCGAGGUACUCGGCGCGACUACGUGCCUCAUCUCCAGAGGAUUAAUUGACUCGUUCUGGCUGCUGGACACUACCUCAUUACGCGCAGCAAUGAGAUACGAUGCACCCACGCGGAGUUUGCUCGGGGUUCGGAAUGAAAGGUGCAUGCAUUAAAACAUACGCUUCAUGCAAUGUCACGUUUGCUCUGCUGCAGAUUGUGCAUGGGUGUACAUUAUUCUAUUGUUCAUUGUAAGUUGCCGUUCGAGGAAGACCAUUUUGUUUAGUCCGUCGGAGAUACACUAGAAAAAAAGAUGCGUUGAUGCGACUAUAUUUUUGUU
rnacentral:lncRNA from 1 species